rnacentral:rRNA from 1 species
AUACGGAGGGUGCAAGCGUUACUCGGAAUCACUGGGCGUAAAGCGCGCGCAGGCGGCUUGGUAAGUUGGAUGUGAAAGCCUACGGCUCAACCGUAGAACUGCAUCCAAAACUGUCAAGCUAGAGUGUGGGAGAGGAAGAUGGAAUUAGUUGUGUAGGGGUAAAAUCCGUAGAGAUAACUAGGAAUACCAAAAGCGAAGGCAAUCUUCUGGAACACUACUGACGCUGAGGCGCGAAAGCGUGGGGAGCAAACAGGAUUAGAAACCCCUGUAGUCC